GCAAAAGAACGACAGUGAAUACUGUAGUAUAGCAAUAUGGGGGAGGGGAAUGGGCAGGUCAUAUGCAAUCAAAUAUUGAAAAAAAAAGUUAUGCUUUUGAGCUGUGUGUUUGAAAAUACUUAAAUACACAGAUAUAAAGUAUUUAAAUAAGAAAUACACAUGCAUUUGGAGACAUGACGGCAUAUAUAUGUUUUAUUGUUUUAAAUGUAACUAGGCAAGUCAGUUAAGAACAAAUUAUUUACAAUGACGGCCUACUUCGGCCAAACCCUAACCUGGGCGAAGCUGGGCAAAUUGUGCGCCGCCCUAUGGGACUCCCAGUCACGGCCGGUUGACACACAGUUUCACGUUCGUCGUAAGAAUUAUCGGAACCGAGGUGCAGCGUGAUUGAUGGUUAAUACAUGAAACGCACAAAAAAAAACAAUAAAGAAUGAACGAAACGUGAAGACAAUGGAGUGCUCACAGGCAACUAGACAUAAACAAGAUCCCACAAACACAGGUGGGAAAAAUAACUACUUAAAUAUAGUCCCCAAUUAGAGACAUCUGUAGCCAGCCGCCUGUAAUUGGGAAUCAUACAAAACACCAACAUAGAAAAAGAAAUUAGAACACAACAUAGACAUAGAUAUACUAGAACAGCCCCUAGUGAUGCCCUGAGCCACUACACCAUAGAGAAUCAAUGGAUCUUUAUGGUCAGGGCAUGACACACAGCCUGGAAUUGAACAGGGCUUUAGACCGCUGCGACCCCUCGGGAGACUUUUACCAAGGGGGAUACUCAGAUACGUUCAGAUACUUAUACUAUUGUUAUAAGAUACUUCUUGGAAAAUCAACAGUAAUACUAUUGAUGUUGAAGUAAAUCUUCAGGUUGUCGUUGAGGAAGGGAGGCAGGAAGGGAGGGAAAUAAUGUUUCAGGGGGGUGGUUGACAGCUUCAGACUGGGGAGAUUGUCGGAAAAGACACAGGGUGUUCUUUUUACUCACCGAUACGGAUCAAAAUAAGUCAGUGUGAUUUUGCAGUAGUGUAUUUAAAAAUAUAUAUUAUUAUUGUAGUUGGAUGUUCUCACAUUUAUAAAAAAUGUGUUAUUUUAUUUUUUAAGGUAUUUGCUAAGCACCAUCGGGACUCUUGUUGAGUGAGGAGAUGGGAAGAUGAAUUGACGAGAACUGAAGUAUAAUUCUGUAUUGAUUUGAGACAAGGAGUAUUUUUGAAGAGGAGAUGGCUGUGGCCAAUUAGACCAUCCAAACGAAAGGGGCUUGGCGGGUUAUGUUUUAUUAAUGUCAAGUAAAGUAAGAAAAUAAUGAAGUAUAUUGAAUAAAUAUAACACCUGUAGCAUGACAUAUGAUGAAGAAUUGUCCUUUACACACUACUACUACUUAAAACACACGUUAACUUGUUCAUAUUCACAGCUUAUAUUUGUUGUCUCACUCUACCUUGUGUAGAGUACGUCUGCAGUGUUAGCCUGUGCUAUCUGUUAUCAGGUGAGUUAUAUAUUAAUUAUAAUUAUUAUAUUGUAUUAAAACCUUCUUAUUAUGGUCAUUUCCUAGCCGUUCGAUAUAUUCUCUAUAUCAGCAUACAGCAUGAUGUUUCAAUAUGAACGUCUAUAGCACUGUUCAACACUUCCUAUUUUGUCUUGUUGUUGACUCCAAAUUAAAUUGAGUACUUUUUAUUUUUUUAUUUACAUAACGAAGUACAUUUAUUUUGGAUGACAAAAUGACAGUAUCAUUUAUGUUACGAAUGACACAUGUUCAGUUAUUGAUGUAAUAACGUAAGUUACAAAAAUUGUGGUUAUAGUUAAAACAAACCUUAACAACCUAUAGUUGUUAAGUGUCCCCUGUUCUCAUGUGUUACGUGUUUUCACAUCCUGUUGUUCUUGUGUGUUAAGGUUAAGUGUUUUCACAUCUUGUGUGUUAAGGUUAAGUGUUUUCACAUCUUGUUUGUUCUUGUGUGUUAAGGUUAAGUGUUUUCACAUCUUGUUUGUUAUUGUGUGUUAAGGUUAAGUGUUUUCACAUCUUGUUUGUUAAGGUUAAGUGUUUUCACAUCUUGUUUGUUCUUGUGUGUUAAGGUUAAGUGUUUUCACAUCUUGUUUGUUAUUGUGUGUUAAGGUUAAGUGUUUUCACAUCUUGUUUGUUCUUGUGUGUUAAGGUUAAGUGUUUUCACAUCUUGUUUGUUCUUGUGUGUUAAGGUUAAGUGUUUUCACAUCUUGUUUGUUCUUGUGUGUUAAGGUUAAGUGUUUUCACAUCUUGUUUGUUAUUGUGUGUUAAGGUUAAGUGUUUUCACAUCUUGUUUGUUCUUGUGUGUUAAGGUUAAGUGUUUUCACAUCUUGUUUGUUAUUGUGUGUUAAGGUUAAGUGUUUUCACAUCUUGUUUGUUCUUGUGUGUUAAGGUUAAGUGUUUUCACAUCUUGUUUGUUAUUGUGUGUUAAGGUUAAGUGUUUUCACAUCUUGUUUGUUAUUGUGUGUUAAGGUUAAGUGUUUUCACAUCUUGUUUGUUCUUGUGUGUUAAGGUUAAGUGUUUUCACAUCUUGUUUGUUAUUGUGUGUUAAGGUUAAGUGUUUUCACAUCUUGUGUGUUAAGGUUAAGUGUUUUCACAUCUUGUUUGUUAUUGUGUGUUAAGGUUAAGUGUUUUCAUAUCUUGUUUGUUAUUGUGUGUUAAGGUUAAGUGUUUUCACAUCUUGUUUGUUCUUGUGUGUUAAGGUUAAGUGUUUUCACAUCUUGUUUGUUAUUGUGUGUUAAGGUUAAGUGUUUUCACAUCUUGUUUGUUCUUGUGUGUUAAGGUUUAAGGUUAAGUGUUUUCACAUCUUGUUUGUUAUUGUGUGUUAAGGUUAAGUGUUUUCACAUCUUGUGUGUUAAGGUUAAGUGUUUUCACAUCUUGUUUGUUAUUGUGUGUUAAGGUUAAGUGUUUUCAUAUCUUGUUUGUUAUUGUGUGUUACGGUUAAGUGUUUUCACAUCUUGUGUGUUCUUGUGUGUUAAGGUUAAGUGUUUUCACAUCUUGUUUGUUAUUGUGUGUUAAGGUUUAAGGUUAAGUGUUUUCACAUCUUUUCACAAACAACUAUGUAAGCACCACUGUGUUUGUAAUCGUUAUUUUUUUUAAAUGCUCCAAAAAAUAAAAUGCUGAGUUGUAUUUUUUUUUCCUACUGACAGCACUUCACCAGCCUCUGGAAUCAAGAUCCUUCAGAUGACAAUGUCAUUUAUGUGAAGAAUAUUGUCUUAGUGAUUUUAUUACAUUAAUUACAAAGUUGUGGUCACAAUUGAAACAAAUCUGAUACAGAACAUAAAUCUUCUAUAUAUAAAUACUGCAGUAAUUACCUCAGUUUUGCAGUUAGAGUUAAAAGGUGGUUUCAUGCCUGGUUGUGUGGUGUUGUACUGAUGUCCCCCUCAGGGGCUAAACACAAACGGUUAUUUCCAGAGAAGCUGUGUGACACAUUACUAAUGCAUGACUAUCACACCCUUGUCUU